rnacentral:tRNA from 1 species
UUCCUGGUGGUCCAGUGGGUAAGACUCCGUGCUCCUAAUGCAGGGGCCUGGGUUCAAUCCCUGGUCAGGGAA